ACAACAAUCUCCCUCUUCUCUCUUUCUUCUCCAGAUAACAACCUCUUCUCCAUUGAAAAUUGGUCAUCCUCUCCAUUCAAAAGUCAAUUAACUCUCUUUCCUGUACACUAUUUAUAAGGAGAAUAGUAAGAAACAGUUCCUGAGUGCAGGCUUGCCAUCGCUGUUGAGGUCAAAGAACAAGUCUCCUAGGGCAAAAUCAUUUGGGUUCUACGGACAAAGAGAAAAAGAGACGAGACGGAAAAAAAAAAAAAAAAAAGGAGAAGAGAACAGGGGAAGAAGGGAAACAAGAAGAGAUUUAGAGGAAGAAAGAAAAGGGGAGAGAGGAAGAACAAAAGAAAGAAAAGAAGUGGCUCUCCUUGUCUGUAGUUGAGCAACUAACUGAGACUGCACUUGCUAUCACCAACCAAGGACCAACAAGGUCACAUUCCUACUACAUUUUAGCACGAUCUUACAAUAGCAAGGGACUGGCUAUGGUAAUGCCACUUCUAAAGUUGCUGUUUUAGGAGGAAUCAAGUCUGCCACAUUAUGGUUUUUAUUUGGUGGUUUGCAUGAAAUCUCAUCUCAGCUUGCAUCACCAACCCUAAAAAUUUGGGUUCGUCAUCAGUAAGGUAGCAGUUUGUGUCUUACAACGUAUUCCUGGUCUAAUUUCUGUUUUACUAAUUUUAUCAUGCUUUUUUUCAGUUUAGAUUGUUUGCAAAUAGACAAAUUCUUUUCCAUUUACGAAAUCAUUCACAAAUAGUGACGUUUUAUUUUCUAAGGUGGAACUGACAAGAAAAUAUUUUAAGGGACGAUUUGUCUUUGGAUUUGGAAGGUAGUUUCUUAAUCUUUUUAGUUUUGAUGUUAGCUUUAGUUACAUUUUUGGACAGAUGUUCGCAGUUUUUCAUUAGUAUUUAACUCAAUGUUUCAAUCUUUGAGAAUAUAUGCUGUUAGUAUACUUCAUGUAACUUGAAAAUGACCAUUUUUUUCAUACUGCCUAAUAAGAGGGGCUUAGUUGAGUUUUUACAGCGAUUUGGCUGAAUGGUGAUGGAUUUAUUGCGGAAGGAUCUAACAUGAAUGUGGCUUUUGUUAGAAAAGACAAGGAACUUCUAAUGCCUUAGUUUGACAAAAUACCAAGUGGCUGCACGGCUAAGAGAGUUUUGGCGCUUGCAGAAGGCCUGGUGAAGGAGGGUAAGCUUCAAGGAAUGCUCUAUAAAGAUCCUUCUAAAAGGCUCGCUGCUCACCAGGUUUUAGGUAGUUUAAUAAUGAUUGCAGUAACAGAGUUUGCUCGAAUGAGAUCAUUCUAGCUAGCAUCUGUAAUAUGAUACGAGUUAAAGUUGAAAGUUUGGUGUAGUAUGAUCAGUACUUUGA